GAUGCGUGUUUUUAUUGUAUUUAAAGUUUUAUUUAUUUAAUAGUAUUGUGAAUUAGUUUCGCUUCUUAAUUUUUUACAGAUCGAUGAUAAACGAGAGGCGGAGAGGACAUGGAAGUUCGUUUUGAUGCUAGCGUAAAAGAAGUUGUUCGAUGUGAUGUUCUUUCUAUAAAUAAUUUUGCAGAUAAUUGAGGAACAUUAUAAAAAUUCUGGAUGCCAUUAAGUUACAGACCGUUGGUUACAUCAGUCCUCCUUCGUUUCAGGGAGUAGCUGUACCUAUAGCCCAAGGGAAUGCACGAAAGUGAUUUUUUUUCCAUUGAGAAUGAAGACAGUAUGUUUUUGCUGAAGGAAGGAUUCAUGACAAUGAAUUGACUGCCCAACAUAUGAGAAGGGGGAGACUGCUGGAAAUUAAUUUGGAAACCGCUGAAACAAUAGAUUGCAGUGGCAUCUCUCCUGGCUUUGGCUUGCUCGUUACACAUUUAGACUUUAGAAUAUUAGUUUCUGCAAUUAAUUAAGAUUAUCCAAUAAAUGAGAGAAUUAAUGUUCAGCUUGGUCUUACUGAAACAACCAAAGUCUACAUGGGUGUGGUCUAUUGUGAACUGUUUUCUUGAUUUGCUGUUUUCGUCUUCGCCUUGCAACAUUAUGCAGUUAAUUUUCAACCGAAGAGAGAAGAGCAACUGGAGAUUUAUUUGAAUUCCACUGAAACAACAAAUUUUCUGCUAUGGAUUUGAAUUUGGUUUGCUCUUCACAUCUGCAAACUUUGAAAUGUUACAGUUACAGUUAAUGAAGAUCGACGUUGGAGAAGACAAAGAUGACCCCGUAGUUGAA
rnacentral:lncRNA from 1 species